UACAGGGGGUGCAAACGUUGCUCGGAAUUAUUGGGCGUAAAGCGCGCGUAGGCGGCUACUUAGGUCGGAUGUGAAAGCCCUUGGCUCAACUGAGGAAGUGCACCCGAAACUGAGUGGCUUGAGUACUAAAGAGGGUCGCGGAAUUCCCGGUGUAGAGGUGAAAUUCGUAGAUAUCGGGAGGAACACCGGUGGCGAAGGCGGCGACCUGGGUAGAUACUGACGCUGAGGCGCGAAAGCGUGGGGAGCAAACAGG
rnacentral:rRNA from 1 species